rnacentral:rRNA from 1 species
CAAAAACAUCGCCUCCUGCAAAAAAUCAAUGUAUGGGAGGUCUUGCCUGCCCAGUGACUUAAGUUAAACGGCCGCGGUAUUUUGACCGUGCAAAGGUAGCGCAAUCACUUGUUUUUUAAAUAAAGACCUGUAUGAACGGUGAGACGAGGGCUUAACUGUCUCCCCUCUCCAAUCAGUGAAACUGAUCUACCCGUGCAGAAGCGGGUAUACAUCUACAAGACGAGAAGACCCUAUGGAGCUUAAGACAUAAAAUCAACUGUGUAAAAAUCCUUGAAAACAGGACUACAACAACAUCAGUAACUGAUUUUAGUCUUCGGUUGGGGCGACCGCGGGGGAAAAAAAAUCCCCCAUGUGGAAUGGAGCUUUCUCCAAAACCACGAGGCACACCUCUAAGUCACAGAACUUCUGACCAAAAGAUCCGGCACAAGCCGACCAACGGACCAAGUUACCCUAGGGAUAACAGCGCAAUCCUCUCCAAGAGUCCCUAUCGCCAAGAGGGUUUACGACCUCGAUGUUGGAUCAGGACAUCCUAAUGGUGCAGCCGCUAUUAAGGGUUCGUUUGUUCAACGAUUAAAGUCCUACGUGAUCUGAG